UCAUAAACUUGGCCCGCGGCCAGGAAUUAGUGCGCAUGCGCACAACUCAUCAGUCUUGAGUCUCGAGCUUAUAUAUUAAGUCUAUGGUCUCGAGGCAAGGUGAGCUCGCGCCGAUCAUCCUGUCAACGUAAUUUGCACGUUCAGAUCGGUUACCGCUGAUUCUCCUCCAACCUGGAGUUGAAACUCCGUUCCAUCAUUUCACUGUUUUUUUUCCUCGAAGUUUUGUGGAAGUUUCCAGCUGAAAGGUUUUGAAGUCGCCAUACGGAUGGACAGAACAUUCUUUGUGACAGAACCGCAGACGCCACCUUCCGAUAUGCCUUCGCCUGCAAACAGAACAGAUGUGGAUGUAAACGCCUGAGGAUCUAGUGGUUGAAGCAGAGAAGAAACAAGUCAACACCUCGGAGCUGUCGGGAGCAGAGACCACCACCGGCUGGCCGAUGUCCGACGUCUGUCUGAUGUUCAGGAGGAAACUGGGGUUCCCGGGAGAAAACCUGCACAUGCACGAGGAGAACAUCCAAACCCCACACAGAAUGGUCCCAGCUGGGAUUUGGACCUUCUCAUUGUAAGCAGAGAGAAAGUGCUGAAGGACGACGAUGAAGCUGAUCUUCUGAACAAACUCUGAAGUCACAAGACACCACAAUGCCUCAAAGUAACAGAUUUUCACGGUUUUAAUGGAACAAAAAAUAAAAUAAAACUAAACUAAACACAUCA